UAAAGAAAACAGGGCGGGUAACCGAACCGAUAAGAAUUUAACGGUUCGGGUAACGGGUACCCGUUAACACUGUUUCGGGUACCCGAAUGUCCCGAAAAUAUUUUUUUUUCGAAAUCUCAAAUGAAAAAUGUCAGUUUUUUUUAGAAAAAAAGAAACAGAAAAUAAAGAACAAAAAAGUGAAAACCCUAAACUUCGUUCUUUUCUCAUUUCUCAGUCAUUCACUUCACUCAGCCUCCAUCCCCCUCUCUCUCCUCCUCUUCUCUAAUGUCUCUGCCUCUGGUUCUCUAAUCUCCAUUCUCCAUUCACUCCUUCAUCUCCUCCAUUGAAGCGGCUCUGUUCUUUCACUCCUUCAUCUCCUCCAUUGAAGCGGCUCUGAGCUUUCACUCCUUCAUCUCCUCCAUUGAAGCGGCUCUGAGCUUUCACUCCUUCAUCUCCUAAUGUCCUCAGAUCGCAGAUUCAAUUUAGGGCUCUGCGUACUUCGACUUCUCCAUUGAAGCGGCUUCUGAGCUAUACGCCUAUACUCCUUCAUCUCCUCCAUUGAAGCGUACUUCGACUUCUCCAUUGAAGCGGCUCUGAGCUUUCACUCCUUCAUCUCCUACAUUGAAGCGGCUCUGAGCUUUCACUCCUUCAUCUCCUCCAUUGAAGCGUACUUCGGCUCUCCAUUGAAGCGGCUUUUGAGCUUUCACUGUUGAGGAGUGUAUGGAAUCUGGAAGUAGUGGGGAUAUGGAAGACUCAUCGGCUACAAGUCAAGCUCCUCCAAUUCCAAGUCCUCCUCCCGAGCCUUGGGAGUAUGACCCUUGUCCAAUGACGGAAAAUAAUGACCCCUUUGACCAGCAAAAUCAAUCAAACCAACCUUCUGAACCUGCUGAUGCUGCUGCCCCCUUAAGUGAAACUUCAAAUAAAUCUAGAAAAAGGCGCUCUCCUCAUUGGGAGCAUUUUAUAAAGAAGGAUGGAGAAAACAAGGCUGAAUGUAUCUAUUGUCAUACAUUCAUUGGUUGUGCAUCACUUCAAGGUACCUCCGGCAUGAAGAACCACAUAAAGCGGUGUAAGGAAUACCCCCCAAACAUUGAUCAAAAUCAACAACUAUUGUCCCUUAGUCAACAAACUCUUGAUGGGAAUCUCGUGGAUAAAAAAAAAGGUAGACUUGAGCUGUGGAAAUUCAAUCAAGAAGAUAGUAGGAGAGCUCUGGCAAAGAUGGUGAUCAUGGAUGAAAUGUCUUUUAGAAUGGUGGAGCAUGAAGGUUUUUGCAACUUUAUGAAGGUAACACAACCCUUUUUCAUUAUUCCUUCUCGAUGGACAGUGACUAGAGAUUGUUUUAGGAUUUAUUUGGAUGAGAAAAAAAGUUUGAAAAGUUUUUUUAGUAAGUGCACUUCACGUAUAAGUCUCAUCACUGAUACUUGGACUUCUUGCCAAAAUAUGAAUUACAUGUGUUUAACCGCUCACUUUAUUGACCAAAAUUGGAAAUUGCAUAAAAAAUAAUUAACUUUUGUAUAAUUGCUGGUCAUUCUGGUGAAACAAUUGGUAAAUCUGUCCAAAAGUGUCUACUUGAAUGGGGUAUUUCUAGAGUAAUGACUGUCACUGUAGAUAAUGCAAGUUCAAAUGAUGUUGGCAUUCAAUAUUUGAAAAGAAGGUUUGAAAAUUGGAAGACAUUAGUUUUGGGUGGUCGGUUUUUACACAUGAGAUGUUGUGCUCACAUAUUAAGUUUAACCGUUAAAGAAGGAUUGAAAGAAAGUGAUGUGUCAAUAAAAAGAAUUCGUUGUGCUGUUAGGUAUGUAAGAUCAUCGGGUAGAACUUUGAUUUUUCGUAUGAAGUAGAAGAUAUGGAUUCUGAUGUAGAUGUUGCGGAAUUAGAGUUUGAAAGGCAUGUGGGUUCAUGUGUUGGAGUACAAGGGAAAAAUGAGUUGGCCAAGUAUUUAGAAGAUGAUAGAGAAGUUAAUCCCGCCGGAAAAAGCUUUGAUUGUUUGGGGUGGUGGAAAAAAUAUGGUGAAAGGUAUCCAACAAUAGCUCUCAUGGCUAGAGAUGUACUUGCCAUUCCCGUAUCAACAGUCGCUUCCGAAUCAGCUUUUAGCACCGGUGGUCGAGUGCUUGAUUCAUUUCGUAGCUCACUCUCAACUAAGAUGGUUGAAGCCUUGAUUUGUGCACAAGAUUGGUUACGUACAUCUCAAGGUCCUCUUAUACUUGAGGAGAGACUUGAAGAUAUGGAAAAAAUUGAAUCAGAAAUGUUACCUCUUGGUGAGGAACACUCUCUCUUUGUUGAUGAUGAUUAAUUGAUUAGAGGCAACAACUUAUAAUCAUGAAGGUUGGUGGUGAUUGUAUUGAAGGCCGGAAGUCAUUGAAGGCUUGGAGUAUUUUAUGAAAUAUGAUUACUAUGGACUGUUUUUGUUUUAAAACUAUAAACUAUGGACUUUUUUUUUGUUAUGUAUUGGUUUAUUAUUGUUAACUAUGGACUUUUUUUUUUAAAGAAACAAUAUGUUUGUAUCAAGUAUUUGUUCAUUUGUAAUCGGGUUGAGUGCUGUGUUAUAUGUGUAUUCAGGUUUAAAUAUCAGCCUAUUAGGCUGUUAUUUGUUACAAAAAAAAUCAUAGUACUAAUAACAAUAAUUAAUACUAGAAAAA